rnacentral:lncRNA from 1 species
UGAGUGACUAUAUCUGACAGUCCUAAAUUUGUAGAACUAAACUGAGUUCUAUUCUGAGAUUGGGACUGAAACUGAGACUAUGGUAGGUAAUAAUCUCACUGACACGCCCUUUUCUGAAUAGAUUGCGGUACAACCUAUAACCCCAGUUAGAAGGGUGUAAUUAUCGUGCCAUGGGUAAAGACAUGCUAUGAGUUAACCCUCUUUGAAAGGAAGCUCUUUUAUCAACCCUCG